rnacentral:rRNA from 1 species
GGAACCUGCGGAAGGAUCAUUAU